rnacentral:rRNA from 1 species
UACGUAGGAGACGAGCGUUGUCCGGAAUUACUGGGCGUAAAGCGCGUGUAGGCGGAUGAGCAAGUCUGCUGUGAAAGCUCCUGGCUUAACCGGGAGUGGUCGGUGGAAACUGCUCGUCUGGAGGACGGUAGAGGUAGGUGGAAUUCCCGGUGUAGUGGUGAAAUGCGUAGAGAUCGGGAGGAAUACCUGUGGCGAAGGCGGCCUACUGGGCCGGACCUGACGCUGAGACGCGAAGGCGUGGGGAGCGAUCAGG